rnacentral:tRNA from 1 species
GAGGGUAUGGCUCAGUGGUAGAGCGCAUGCUUAGUGUGCAUGAGGUCCUGGGUUCAAUCCCCAGUACCUCCA